AAAAAAGGUAAGCUACUAAGAGCGAAUGGUGGAUGCCUUGACUGGUAAAGGCGAUGAAGGACGUACUAGACUGCGAUAAGCUACGGGGAGCUGUCAAGAAGCUUUGAUCCGUAGAUUUCCGAAUGGGGCAACCCAAUGUAUAGAGAUAUACAUUACCUAUAUAGGAGCGAACGAGGGGAAUUGAAACAUCUUAGUACCCUCAGGAAAAGAAAUCAAUAGAGAUUGCGUCAGUAGCGGCGAGCGAAAGCGCAAGAGGGCAAACCCAGUGCUUGCACUGGGGGUUGUAGGACUGCAAUGUGCAAGAGGUGAGUUUAGCAGAACAUUCUGGAAAGUAUAGCCAUAGAGGGUGAUAGUCCCGUAUGCGAAAAACAAACCUUAGCUAGCAGUAUCCUGAGUAGGGCGGGACACGAGAAAUCCUGUCUGAAGCUGGGUCGACCACGAUCCAACCCUAAAUACUAAUACCAGAUCGAUAGUGCACAAGUACCGUGAGGGAAAGGUGAAAAGAACUGAGGUGAUCAGAGUGAAAUAGAACCUGAAACCAUUUGCUUACAAUCAUUCAGAGCCCUAUGUAGCAAUACAGGGUGAUGGACUGCCUUUUGCAUAAUGAGCCUGCGAGUUGUGGUGUCUGGCAAGGUUAAGCAAACGCGAAGCCGUAGCGAAAGCGAGUCUGAAUAGGGCGCUUAGUCAGAUGCUGCAGACCCGAAACGAAGUGAUCUAUCCAUGAGCAAGUUGAAGCUAGUGUAAGAACUAGUGGAGGACUGAACCCAUAGGCGUUGAAAAGCCCCGGGAUGACUUGUGGAUAGGGGUGAAAGGCCAAUCAAACUUCGUGAUAGCUGGUUCUCUCCGAAAUAUAUUUAGGUAUAGCGUUGUGUCGUAAUAUAAGGGGGUAGAGCACUGAAUGGGCUAGGGCAUACACCAAUGUACCAAACCCUAUCAAACUCCGAAUACCUUAUAUGUAAUCACAGCAGUCAGGCGGCGAGUGAUAAAAUCCGUCGUCAAGAGGGAAACAACCCAGACUACCAGCUAAGGUCCCUAAAUCUUACUUAAGUGGAAAACGAUGUGAAGUUACUUAAACAACCAGGAGGUUGGCUUAGAAGCAGCCAUCCUUUAAAGAAAGCGUAAUAGCUCACUGGUCUAGUGAUUUUGCGCGGAAAAUAUAACGGGGCUAAAGUAAGUACCGAAGCUGUAGACUUGCGCACAACUUAGAUUAUUUAAGUUUAGAAUAUGAGAAACUAAGUUAUAUGUUUAGUUAUAUUUUUACUGAUUUUUAUAGAGUAAAGAUAGAAAUAAAACUUAGUAAAAUCAGUAAAAAUAUUCUUAGACUAAAGUUAAGUAGUUUAAGUUGUGUGCAAGUGGUAGGAGAGCGUUCUAUUUGCGUCGAAGGUAUACCGGUAAGGAGUGCUGGAGCGAAUAGAAGUGAGCAUGCAGGCAUGAGUAGCGAUAAUUAAUGUGAGAAUCAUUAACGCCGUAAACCCAAGGUUUCCUACGCGAUGCUCGUCAUCGUAGGGUUAGUCGGGUCCUAAGUCGAGUCCGAAAGGGGUAGACGAUGGCAAAUUGGUUAAUAUUCCAAUACCAACAUUAGUGUGCGAUGGAAGGACGCUUAGGGCUAAGGGGGCUAGCGGAUGGAAGUGCUAGUCUAAGGUCGUAGGAGGUUAUACAGGCAAAUCCGUAUAACAAUACUCCGAGAACUGAAAGGCUUUUUGAAGUCUUCGGAUGGAUAGAAGAACCCCUGAUGCCGUCGAGCCAAGAAAAGUUUCUAAGUUUAGCUAAUGUUGCCCGUACCGUAAACCGACACAGGUGGGUGGGAUGAGUAUUCUAAGGCGCGUGGAAGAACUCUCUUUAAGGAACUCUGCAAAAUAGCACCGUAUCUUCGGUAUAAGGUGUGGUUCGCUUCGUAUUAGGAUUUACUCCGAAAGCGAAGAAACUUACAACAAAGAGUCCCUCCCGACUGUUUACCAAAAACACAGCACUCUGCUAACUCGUAAGAGGAUGUAUAGGGUGUGACGCCUGCCCGGUGCUCGAAGGUUAAUUGAUGGGGUUAGCAUUAGCGAAGCUCUUGAUCGAAGCCCGAGUAAACGGCGGCCGUAACUAUAACGGUCCUAAGGUAGCGAAAUUCCUUGUCGGUUAAAUACCGACCUGCAUGAAUGGCGUAACGAGAUGGGAGCUGUCUCAAAGAGGGAUCCAGUGAAAUUGUAGUGGAGGUGAAAAUUCCUCCUACCCGCGGCAAGACGGAAAGACCCCGUGGACCUUUACUACAGCUUGACACUGCUA
rnacentral:rRNA from 1 species